rnacentral:rRNA from 1 species
UACGUAGGGUGCAAGCGUUGUCCGGAAUUAUUGGGCGUAAAGGGCUCGUAGGCGGUCUGUCACGUCGGGAGUGAAAACUCAGGGCUUAACCCUGAGCCUGCUUCCGAUACGGGCAGACUAGAGGUAUGCAGGGGAGAACGGAAUUCCUGGUGUAGCGGUGAAAUGCGCAGAUAUCAGGAGGAACACCGGUGGCGAAGGCGGUUCUCUGGGCAUUACCUGACGCUGAGGAGCGAAAGCUAGGGGAGCAAACAGG